rnacentral:rRNA from 1 species
CGAACGCUGGCGGCAUGGAUUAGGCAUGCAAGUCGAACGAGAAGCUCUAGCUUGCUAGAGUGGAUAGUGGCGAAAGGGUGAGUAACGCGUGAGUAAUCUGCCUCUAAGUUGGGAAUAGCCUCGGGAAACCGGGAUUAAUACCGAAUGUGAACUUCUGUCGCAUGUCAGAAAGUUUAAAGAUUUAUCGCUUAGAGAUGAGCUCGCGUCCCAUUAGCUAGUUGGUAAGGUAACGGCUUACCAAGGCAACGAUGGGUAGCUGGUCUGAGAGGAUGACCAGCCACACUGGGACUGAGACACUGCCCAGACUCCUACGGGAGGCUGCAGUCGAGAAUCUUCCGCAAUGGGCGAAAGCCUGACGGAGCAAUGCCGCGUGCAGGAUGAAGGCCUUUGGGUUGUAAACUGCUGUCACCAGGGAAGAACAAAAUGACGGUACCUGGAGAGGAAGCACCGGCUAACUAC